GGCGCGCAGCCAGCGGCUCCCUGCCCUUCCCCUCCGGGCCCUGAGUACCGGCCCCCCACCAAGGAGGAGCCCGAGGUCUCCGUCCCGGCGGCGAUGCUGCCCCGUCGGCCUCUGGCGUGGCCCGCGUGGCUGUUGCGGGGUGCUCCGGGAGCCGCGGGUUCUUGGGGUCGGCCGGUUGGCCCCCUGGCCCGCAGAGGCUGCUGCUCCGCCCCGGGGAUCCCCGAGGUGCCGCUGACCCGGGAGCGCUACCCCGUGCGGCGCUUGCCGUUCUCCACGGUGUCUAAGCAGGACCUGGCCGCCUUUGAGCGCAUCGUGCCCGGCGGGGUCAUCACGGACCCGGAAGCGCUGCAGGCUCCCAACGUGGACUGGUUGCGGACGCUGCGAGUAGAGACAGGGUUUCACCAUGUUGGCCAGGAUGGUCUCGAUCUAUUGACCUCGUGAUCCGUCCGCCUCGGCUUCCCAAAUUGCUGGGAUUACAGGCGUGAGCCACCCCGCCCUGCCAACAAUCCAAGUUUGCCUGGCGCAGUGGCUCUGCCUGUAAUCUCAGCUGCCCUGGAGGCUGAAGCCAGGAGUUCAAGACCAGCCUGGGCAACAUAGCCAGAACCCCCGCCCCACUCACCUCUAAAAAUAAAAAUAAAUAAAUAAAAGUAGCCGGCCCAGGAUUGAAAAAACAAAAAGUAAAAA
rnacentral:sRNA from 1 species